rnacentral:rRNA from 1 species
AACGAACGCUGGCGGCAGGCUUAACACAUGCAAGUCGAACGCGUGCAGCAAUGCACGAUUGGCUCACGGGUGAGUAACGAGUGGAUAUCUGCCUUUUGGUUCGGAAUAACCCCGGGAAACUGGGGCUAAUACCGGAUGGUUCCCACGUGAUAAAGAUUUAUCGCCAAAGGAUGCGUCCGCGUCCGAUUAGUUAGUUGGUUAGGUAAUGGGUCACCAAGGCGACGAUCGGUAGCUGGUCUGAGAGGACGAUCAGCCACACUGGGACUGAGACACGGCCCAGACUCCUACGGGAGGCAGCAGUGGGGAAUAUUGGACAAUGGGGGCAACCCUGAUCCAGCCAUGCCGCGUGAGUGAUGAAGGCCUUCGGGUUGUAAAGCUCUUUUGGCGGGGACGAUGAUGACGGUACCCGCAGAAUAAGCCCCGGCUAACUUCGUG